rnacentral:rRNA from 1 species
AUUGAACGCUGGCGGCAGGCUUAACACAUGCAAGUCGAGCGGGGUGAUGGUGCUUGCACUAUCACUUAGCGGCGGACGGGUGAGUAAUGCUUAGGAAUCUGCCUAUUAGUGGGGGACAACAUCUCGAAAGGGAUGCUAAUACCGCAUACGUCCUACGGGAGAAAGCAGGGGAUCACUUGUGACCUUGCGCUAAUAGAUGAGCCUAAGUCGGAUUAGCGAGUUGGUGGGGUAAAGGCCUACCAAGGCGACGAUCUGUAGCGGGUCUGAGAGGAUGACCAGCCAAGCUGGGACAGGAAAACGGCCCAGACUCUUACGGGAGGCAGCAGUGGGGAAUAUUGGACAAAGGGGGGAACCCUGAUCCAGCCAUGCCGCGUGUGUGAAGAAGGCCUUAUGGUUGUAAAGCACUUUAAGCGAGGAGGAGGCUCUUUUGGUUAAUACCCAAGAUGAGUGGACGUUACUCGCAGAAUAAGCACCGGCUAACUCUGUGCCAGCAGCCGCAGUAA